GCCUUCAAGGAAGUUAACACUUGUCAAUGGAGAGUAGCCAGACUCUCUGUACAAAUGAAAUGUACCAGAGUCUGGCAGGACCAGGCUAUAAUACUAUUGGAUUGGACUAUUUGGAGAAAGUUUGUACAAAGUAAGUAGCCUGAUACAGCUCCUCAGACAACUUUUAGGGAAUAUCAGCAGAGUAAGAUGUGAUCACACUGCUGGGAGAAUGCUUUCAGCAAG